UUAAAAAGACGAGAUAAAAGUUUACAUUCCCAGAAUAUCCUCGCACCUUUACCAGAACUGCGCAGUGAUGUUUUGUGAAACACGAGUGGGACAACAUACGAUACUAUACGAUACAAUGGCGCUUUUAUCACUUUUGAAAAUGGCGUCGUGUUUGUUUUCUAUUUGUUAUUUCGCACCCUUUAAAGCAUGUUUUCUCCCUAUUUUCAGCUCUGUGACACUCGGUAUGGAAAGUAGAGGGACUGAAAACAUUCCAUAUUUAUGAGGGUUUGAAAUCAUCUCGAAGACGAAGCAGGAGGAGAAUAAACAGUAGGCAAAGAAGAAGAGGAGAAAGAAGAAGAAUAACUAGAAGAAGGAGACGACGACGAAGUAGCCAUCUUCUGGAUGUCCGGUCAAGCAGCACCAACAGCACUUCAUGUUGCAUGCAGCGCCAUUAUUCAGCAGCAUCUCAGCGUAGCUCUCUGAACGUGUCAAAUUGAUAUCUGAUUCCACAAUAUGGAUACAAGAACACGGUGUAUAGGAAGACGAUGCAAGGACAUGUGUUCAUGAGGAAAAUCAUGAAGCACAUAGAAACAUUCAACACACUAAUGGAUGAGCAGCAUGGGUUUGAACCACAAUAUAGUUCAGAGACUCAGCUGCUCACAGCAUCACAUGGACUAGCAGAGUCAACUGAUGAGUGAAGGCAGACUGACUUAACCAUACUGGACUUCAGCAAGGCAUUUAAUCUACCAGUCUCUUAGCUGCAUUGAACCACUAAGAGACAUUCUACCAGUGACUUGGGUCAUUCUGUUCAAACAGAAGCUGAAGAUUCUUCCCACGUUACAAACUACGAAUGCCGAGGCACAGGAUUAGAAAAUCUUCAUACAGGAGCCGCAGUUGUUGCUGCCAUGGUUUCUCUAUAACUUGUAAAGGCCCUUUCUGAGUACACCCUAGUGAUGGCUGAGGCUGUGCCGGUUGGGUUUCGCACCCAGUGGCCGCUACGGUAGCCGGAUUGGUUCAGACCUGAAGGGACGAAAGGUUUGGGGGGAAACUACAAUAAACCGUGGCGUGCGACGACUGCACAUCUUGCUUCCACGUCGGAUUUAUGAAGAUGGCAUCGGCUCUUAUCUUGCUUUCAUCCCAUCGGAUGUGUCAAGGAUCUGGUGUGACUGAAGGGUACCUAACUUUGCCACUCAACGUCAGUGUUUUCACCUUUCCCAGUCUGCUUUGGGUCGGUCAAAACUCAUUGUCUGAUACUUCACAUAUCACCAUUGGUUAUGAAGACUCGUGUGUUGGGUGGACAGGUAUGGAGCAAGGCAUAUCAGAGAGAGACAAGGAAUAAUUGGUGCCAAGGUGCUAGCUUAUGAGGCUGGGAUUGGAGCAUGCUAACAUUUUGGAGAGGAGACCAGGACAGGAGAGGAGACCCAAAGACAGGACAAGAUGCCCAGGACAGGACAAGAUGCCCAGGACAACAGAGGACAGGAGUGGAGCACCAACUACCAUUCAUUAAGAAGCUACAUAACACUGCCACUCCUGAGUACUAGUUAGCAUGUGCCAGCCCACUUAUGUACAAGGUUUUCGUCAAGCUGACAGAAGUUAUAAGUGUGUAAAUCAUUGAUGCUAGAACUGUUGUAUAAAUGCACAUGUAUUGUUAACGUCAAGUUGUCUAGCUACAAUGUGUACAUCGUUUCUCAAAUGCAAAGUCGUGUUUUUAAUUGAGUUCGGUUUUU